rnacentral:rRNA from 1 species
AGAGUUUGAUCAUGGCUCAGGACGAACGCUGGCGGCGUGCUUAACACAUGCAAGUCGAACGAUGAAAGCUGGAGCUUGCUCUAGCUGGAUUAGUGGCGAACGGGUGAGUAACACGUGAGCAAUCUGCCCUGGACUCUGGGAUAACCCCGAGAAAUCGGAGCUAAUACCGGAUACGACACCUCCCGGCAUCGGGUGGGUGUGGAAAGAAUUUCGGUCCAGGAUGAGCUCGCGGCCUAUCAGCUUGUUGGUGAGGUAACGGCUCACCAAGGCGACGACGGGUAGCCGGCCUGAGAGGGUGACCGGCCACACUGGGACUGAGACACGGCCCAGACUCCUACGGGAGGCAGCAGUGGGGAAUAUUGCACAAUGGGCGCAAGCCUGAUGCAGCAACGCCGCGUGGGGGACGAAGGCCUUCGGGUUGUAAACCUCUUUUAGUAGGGAAGAAGCGCAAGUGACGGUACCUACAGAAAAAGCACCGGCUAACUACGUGCCAGCAGCCGCGGUAAUACGUAGGGUGCAAGCGUUGUCCGGAAUUAUUGGGCGUAAAGAGCUCGUAGGCGGUUUGUCGCGUCUGCUGUGAAAAUCCGAGGCUCAACCUCGGACCUGCAGUGGGUACGGGCAAACUAGAGUGCGGUAGGGGAGAUUGGAAUUCCUGGUGUAGCGGUGGAAUGCGCA